rnacentral:rRNA from 1 species
GAUGAACGCUGGCGGCGUGCCUAAUACAUGCAAGUCGAGCGAACGGACGAGAAGCUUGCUUCUCUGAUGUUAGCGGCGGACGGGUGAGUAACACGUGGAUAACCUACCUAUAAGACUGGGAUAACUUCGGGAAACCGGAGCUAAUACCGGAUAAUAUUUUGAACCGCAUGGUUCAAAAGUAAAAGACGGUCUUGCUGUCACUUAUAGAUGGAUCCGCGCUGCAUUAGCUAGUUGGUAAGGUAACGGCUUACCAAGGCAACGAUGCAUAGCCGACCUGAGAGGGUGAUCGGCCACACUGGAACUGAGACACGGUCCAGACUCCUACGGGAGGCAGCAGUAGGGAAUCUGCCGCAAUGGGCGAAAGCCUGACGGAGCAACGCCGCGUGAGUGAUGAAGGUCUUCGGAGCGUAAAACUCUGUUAUUAGGGAAGAACAGAUGUGUAAGUAACUGUGCACAGCGUGACGGUACCUAAUCAGAAAGCCACGGCUAACUACGUG